rnacentral:tmRNA from 1 species
GGGGGUGCAUGGUUUCGACUUGGAAACGAAGUACCGGUGGCAUGCAGAGGAUUCGGUUGGCCUCUCAAAAAAACCGAGACCAAAUAAUUGUCGAUGAAUACGGCGGUUACGAGGAGGCUGCUUAGGACCUAACCCGUCCAUAAAGCAGUCCGCGCCUUCGAGUCUGACCGAGAGCUCGAGGGGUCGCUUGUUUUCUCGGUGCGGACACCCGCUCUCCCCGUCCCGGGAGAGGGUGUCUCAGUUCGAACGGGAUGUUGUUGCAAGCCCCGAGCGGGGUGCCUUACGGCAGGGCUUGACAAGGAAAAGGGUAGUAAGGCACUAAGCAUGUAGGCGCCGCUAUGGAAUUUGCUAAGGACGAGAGUUCGAUUCUCUCCACCUCCAUAU